UACGUAGGCAGCAAGCGUUGUUCGGAGUUACUGGGCGUAAAGGGUGUGUAGGCGGUUCUUUAAGUUUGCUGUGAAAUCUCCCGGCUUAACCGGGAGGGUGCGGUGAAUACUGAGGGACUAGAGUACGGGAGAGGAAAGUGGAAUUCCUGGUGUAGCGGUGAAAUGCGUAGAUAUCAGGAGGAACACCGGUGGUGUAGACGGCUUUCUGGACCGUAACUGACGCUGGGACACGAAAGCGUGGGUAGCAAACAGG
rnacentral:rRNA from 1 species